AGAAGGUAAAGGAAGUAGCUAAGCUAACAGUUUGACAUGAAUAAGCAGUUCACUUGGAGAUGUGCUUUCAAAGAAGCCAGCUACUGUUUUGAAACGUUUGAUAAUGUUGGUUUUAAUUGUCCAUACAUGGCUAGCUAGCUAGUUACAUAAGUUAACUGUUUGUUUUGCACACAUUGCCAAGGAAGACCCAAGUGCUCGCAGCUAACGUUAGCUUGCUCUGCAUGGCAUAUAACAACGUUACUGUUAUGCUAACGUUAGCUCGCAAGUAACAGUACAGUAGGACCGAAGAUACUGCUGGUAGAACUAGCUAACGUUACUAGCUAGCUAGCAUCUUUCCUAAGGUGUAGCGGUGGUUCAGAUAGAAGACCAGGAAAGGUACAGGAAGUGACGGUGCUUCCUUGUUGCCAUGGCGUCUGAGCUGCAGGAGGCGAUCUGCAUGGCCAAGCAGGAGCGUCACAAGAACCUGUUCCUCAACUACAGGAACCUGAACAACUUUCCGGUCGAGCUGCUGAAAGAUGAAGGACUACAGUUCCUACAGAGGCUUUAUAUGAAGAGGAACUCUCUCACCACGCUGCCGGAUAAUCUAGCACAGAAGCUCCCCAACUUAAUAGAGCUGUAUCUGCAUUCCAACAAUAUAACCUGUGUUCCUGAAGCUAUAGGUAACCUGUCCAGGCUGCAGUCUUUAGACCUGAGUGACAACGCUCUGCAAGUCAUCUGUCCAGAGAUCGGCAAGCUGAGGUCCUUACGACACCUGAAACUUGCCAACAACCAGCUGAAAUACCUGCCUCCAGAGAUUGGAGCCCUGUGUGACCUAGAGACCCUGGAUGUCAGUAGGAAUGUGUUGGUGUGUCUCCCAGAGCGGCUGCACCAGUGUCUGUCUCUCCAGUGUCUCACUGCUGACAGGAACAACCUGACCAGUUUCCCCAGACAGCUCUGCCAGCUCCACAGCCUCAACGAGCUCAGUAUGGCUGCUAACCAACUCACCUCUCUACCCCUAGAUUUGGGUCGUUCCAGAGAGCUGCAGUUUGUGUUUGUUGACAACAACGUCCACCUCAAAGGCCUUCCUUCAUACCUGUACAACAAGGUGAUUGGCUGCAGCGGGUGUGGUCUGCCAGGGCAGGUGUCUGACCGGGUGCCCCAGCCUCUGUCUCUGUCUCUGGGAGAUGUGUCUCUCCCUUUGCCUGCUGAGGUGAAAGCUAUAGGCUCAGAGACGGAGCGAGUGGGCCCCCUGGAGGAGCUCGCCAUGAGGGCCCUGCACAGCAUAUACGGGCGACAGCCAAUCAGAGAGCGGAGUCUGCUGCCGCCCUUCCUGUUACCCAGAAGCCUUCUGGACCUGCUCCAAUGCCCCCUGGGACAUUGUCACCGCUGCAGUCAGCCCAUGUUUACCAUCAUCUACCCCAAACUGUUCCCUCUCAGAGAGACCGCUCUGGCUGGGGUACACCGCAGAACCACAGUGAGUUUCGUGGCCUACUGCUGUUCCAGUCAGUGUGUUCAGACAUUUGAUCUGCAGCAAUGACAUCAUGGUGCCUCCACCUCUUCCUCUCCCCUUCGGUCAUCAUCUCCUCCUCUGGUCUCCUGGAUGAAUGAAUGAAGGAUGGAUGAAGGACUGUGGGAGUCCUGAACGUCUCAGGAGGACUUGCAUAGCCUCUGGACUGGUGGACAUGAGGAACUGAAGAUCUCAGGAGGACAUGCAUAGCCUCUGGACUGGUGGACAUGAGGAACUGACCAUCUCAGGAGGACAUGCAUAGCCUCUGGACUGGUGGACAUGAGGAACUGAAGGUCUCAGGAGGACAUGCAUAGCCUCUGGACUGGUGGACAUGAGGAACUGAAGGUCUCAGGAGGACAUGCAUAGCCUCUGGACUGGUGGACAUGAGGAACUGAAGGUCUCAGGAGAACAUGCAGAGCCUCAGCAGCCUGUGACCAGUCCAGCAGUCUGUAAUGGGCAUGGACGGUCCAAUUGAAAGACAGACAAUAUUGGUAUUAAUAAUCCACAUCUUGACAUAUCAUCUACUGUCCAACGACUAACAUCUCUAAAUACAGCAUCAUUCUACUAAUGGUUUGUUUCUGGUUUCAGUUUGUUCCAGCAACAACUCAGAGCGUGUCGGUAUUUACUGGUGUGAACUAGCUGCUCUGUUCACCAGCCAAACGUCCACCUGACAGACGCAUCACAAUAACAAGAAGUGCCGAGUGUUUUUGUCUUUGUAGAGGAGAAUCUAUUCUGAUCAUUUCUAUGGAUUUUUACAUGACACUGGUUGACAAAAAGUGUUUGAAGAAUGUCAGUUCGGCCGUAUCGCAUGAUAUUUGUUCUAAACCUGUUCUAAAUAUGUAAUACUGGUAGGUGUGUUGCCCCCCACUCCAGCCUGAAGGACUUUGACAAGAUAAUAGACACAUUUAGUUAUUGGGCGUUUCUUUUCCUGUAGACACAUCAGACUCUCAGACCUCUAACAAGUUUUUAAACUUUACAAAAUUGGUCUUUGAGGGUAAACUAUUAUUUUGCAAAAAAAGGUUAACGUCUGAAACAGUCUGGUAACCUGAAUGUUUAUGAAGGAUUUAAAACAAAAAACAAAACUUUGUUUCCAUUCAGUUUGAUUGUGACUCAAAGCAACGCUUUGGUUCUUUAGCUGAAAACCAAAGGAACUGAAGCUCAUAACAGAAGUGUUUGGGCCCUACCGUACCAGACUUGCCAAGCCCGGCUGUAGGUCCAUGCAGCAGACUCUCUGUCUUGGCUAGACGGACUGAGAGACUGGGAUAGGAGGCAGCAGACUCUCUGUCUUGGCUAGACGGACUGAGAGACUGGGAUAGGAGGCAGCAGACUCUCUGUCUUGGCUAGACGGACUGAGAGACUCCGCCAGGGUUCUGUCGAGGGUUGAGACUCCGCCAGGGUUCUGUCGAGGGUUGAGACUCUGCCAGGGUUCUGUCGAGGGUUGAGACUCUGCCAGGGUUCUGUCGAGGGUUGAGACCCCGCCAGGGUUCUGUCGAGGGUUGAGGCCCCGCCAGGGUUCUGUCGAGGGUUGAGACUCCGCCAGGGUUCUGUCGAGGGUUGAGACUCCGCCAGGGUUCUGUCGAGGGUUGAGACUCCGCCAGGGUUCUGUCGAGGGUUGAGACUCCGCCAGGGUUCUGUCGAGGGUUGAGACUCCGCCAGGGUUCUGUCGAGGGUUGAGACUCCGCCAGGGUUCUGUCGAGGGUUGAGACUACGCCAGGGUUCUGUCGAGGGUUGAGACUCCGCCAGGGUUCUGUCGAGGGUUGAGACUCCGCCAGGGUUCUGUCGAGGGUUGAGACUCCGCCAGGGUUCUGUCGAGGGUUGAGACUCCGCCAGGGUUCUGUCGAGGGUUGAGACUCCGCCAGGGUUCUGUCGAGGGUUGAGACUCCGCCAGGGUUCUGUCGAGGGUUGAGACUCCGCCAGGGUUCUGUCGAGGGUUGAGACUCCGCCAGGGUUCUGUCGAGGGUUGAGACUCCGCCAGGGUUCUGUCGAGGGUUGAGACCCCGCCAGGGUUCUGUCGAGGGUUGAGACUCCGCCAUGAAUGUCUGAAUCUCACAACUCAAGAGGAAUGGUGAACAAAAUUAUAAUUUACCUCAUCCCAAAUGGCCCCCUUUCUCCCAUGGGCCCUGGUCUAAAGUAGUGCACUGUGUAGGGAAUAAGAUGCAUCUUGAGACACAACCAGUAUGUGACAUUGGAUUAUAAAACCAGCAGCAAGAUGUCUAGAUGAGGAUUGGGUCUAUUGCCACUUUAUUUGUUUGGCUUUCUAUUGUUUAUUACAUUGUUAGAUAGUUAUUAUUAUAACAUUGUUAUAACUGUGAAUAUGAUUACUAUAUUGUAUCAUUUGUAAUCAAUUACUUUUAUUUUAAUGUCUGACAUUUUGGCAAUAAACAAUGUUUAACUUGA